CAUAGGUCCCUACAAACAUAAUAAGUUGCAAAUACAUCCCUACAAAGUUCAACUUUUAUACAUUGUUCUUGUAAAAAUUCUAACAUUUUCAAAUACGUCUCUCUGACUUGUUACCGUUAAAAUAUUAUUUAUUUUAUAAGUGAAAUAAUAUUCUUGUCAUUACUGCUAAAAUACUGCACCACGUGUUUACAUAUGUUAAAUAUAAAAAUAUAUAAACACCGUUCUCUAGCAGCUUAAGUUUUUAGAGUAUUACGGUUAUUUUACAUGAUAUCAAAGCAGGAAGUUCUGAGUUCGAGUCACGCCAGGCUCCUAGCAUAUUAAUUCUCUCAUUUAAUUCAAACCCAUGUCAUGGGCCGACUAAAAAAUCUUGAGCAGAGAUGUGGGGGCCGUUCUUUUAUAGUUUAAGCUUUUAACAGUUUAAGCUUUUAGAGUAUAACGAUUGUUUGAAUAUUUUUAUAUUUAA
rnacentral:lncRNA from 1 species